GACGAACGCUGGCGGCGUGCUUAACACAUGCAAGUCGAACGGAAAGGCCUCUUUCGGGGGGUACUCGAGUGGCGAACGGGUGAGUAACACGUGAGUAACCUGCCCCUGACUUUGGGAUAACUUCAGGAAACUGGGGCUAAUACCGGUUAGGAGCUCCUCCUGCAUGGUGGGGGUUGGAAAGUUUCGGCGGUUGGGGAUGGAAUCUCUGCCUAUCAAGUUGUUGGGGGGGUAGUGGCGUACCCAGUCGUUGACGGGUAGCCGGCCUGAGAGGGGGACCGGACAACAUCGGGAUUAGAGUUAGGCCCGGCUCCAUCGGGGAGCAGCAGGUGGGAAUAAUGCAACAAUGGUGGAAGGCCGGCUGCACAACGGCCUGGGGGGGAUGACGGGCUUCGGGUUGUAAACCGCUUUCGGUCAUGGCGAAGCUUUGUGUGACGGUAGUGGGUAAAGAAGCACCGGCUAACUACGUG
rnacentral:rRNA from 1 species